UACACAUGCAGUCGAGCGGGCGAGGNNUNGCUUCGCGUACACUNGNACGCUAGCGGCGGACGGGUGAGUAAUGCUUAGGAAUCUGCCUAUUAGUGGGGGACAACAUUCCGAAAGGAAUGCUAAUACCGCAUACGCCCUACGGGGGAAAGCAGGGGAUCUUCGGACCUUGCGCUAAUAGAUGAGCCUAAGUCAGAUUAGCUAGUUGGUGGGGUAAAGGCCUACCAAGGCGACGAUCUGUAGCGGGUCUGAGAGGAUGAUCCGCCACACUGGGACUGAGACACGGCCCAGACUCCUACGGGAGGCAGCAGUGGGGAAUAUUGGACAAUGGGCGNAAGCCUGAUCCAGCCAUGCCGCGUGUGUGAAGAAGGCCUUUUGGUUGUAAAGCACUUUAAGCGAGGAGGAGGCUACUUGGAUUAAUACUCUAGGAUAGUGGACGUUACUCGCAGAAUAAGCACCGGCUAACUCUGUGCCAGCAGCCGCGGUAAUACAGAGGGUGCGAGCGUUAAUCGGAUUUACUGGGCGUAAAGCGUGCGUAGGCGGCUUCUUAAGUCGGAUGUGAAAUCCCUGAGCUUAACUUAGGAAUUGCAUUCGAUACUGGGAAGCUAGAGUAUGGGAGAGGAUGGUAGAAUUCCAGGUGUAGCGGUGAAAUGCGUAGAGAUCUGGAGGAAUACCGAUGGCGAAGGCAGCCAUCUGGCCUAAUACUGACGCUGAGGUACGAAAGCAUGGGGAGCAAACAGGAUUAGAUACCCUGGUAGUCCAUGCCGUAAACGAUGUCUACUAGCCGUUGGGGCCUUUGA
rnacentral:rRNA from 1 species